AGGAUGAACGCUGGCGGCGUGCCUAAUACAUGCAAGUCGUGCGGCAGCGAGCUUUACACUGUUUACUGGAGAAUUAUCUCAAGUACGCAGUGUAAAGUGUCGGCGAGCGGCGGACGGCUGAGUAACGCGUAGGAACGUACCCCAAAGUGAGGGAUAAGCACCAGAAAUGGUGUCUAAUACCGCAUGUGCUCUAAGGAGUAAAGCUUCGGCGCUUUGGGAACGGCCUGCGUAAGAUUAGCUUGUUGGUGAGGUAAAAGCUCACCAAGGCGACGAUCUUUAGCUGGUCUGAGAGGAUGAUCAGCCAGACUGGGACUGAGACACGGCCCAGACUCCUACGGGAGGCAGCAGUAGGGAAUUUUCCACAAUGGGCGAAAGCCUGAUGGAGCAACGCCGCGUGCAGGAUGAAGGCCUUAGGGUUGUAAACUGCUUUAUCUGUGACGAAUAUGACGGUAGCAGAUGAAUAAGGAUCGGCUAACUCCG
rnacentral:rRNA from 1 species